rnacentral:piRNA from 1 species
AGCAUGAACCUGAGGUGCCGCUAUGC